AUUGUUUAACCGAUACGUAAUCCGGCGUAGGAUCUUCGUGAGGAUGGUGGGCAGAAUAUAAUGGUGGUCACAUGCCCGCGGGUCGCGAGUGCUCGCUCCGUCUGCAGAGAGAAAAUAAUGUGAUGUUUUUGUAUCAUACGAUAUACAGACAGGCGGCCUGGACUGUUUGCCUGAGGCGUCUGGCAGGAUGUAACGAGGAGUCCGAGAGUUGCCUGUGGGUCCACAUAUUUUAGGGCGCGCCCUCCCUGCACCCUCCCUACCACUGAUUUGGCCCUACGUGUCUUUGAAACGGGUCGUGUUGUGCCCAAGGCGAAGGCCGCAGUUACCCACCUCUUUCUCAGUUUCUUCCCCUCCCUCCGCCCGCUCCCCCCCACCUUUCUUCCUCCUUCGGACAAAGCUUCAUACGAAUCAUAUACAUUGGUCGUAUUGUAUGUACAUGCAUGCCAUCUUCUCUCUUAUGUACAUCGAUCGCGUAAUCGCUCUUCAUACGCGGACGCUUCGUUUCGAGUGGAUUCUAUAUAUUAUAUGAACGGCUUGUAUGACUGCGCUUUUCUUUCAUCGAUUCCUUAUGGGAUUUAUGGGUCUUGUAAUUCAGGCGGGGGGAAAGGGGGAUUCUUUAUUUUAUCGUAAUAGGCAGUUGAUUUAUGGGCGAAACUUCGGAAAGGGGUGGAAUCUCUUCCUGGGUUUUGGUGAGACGAAUGGAAGUUUAAUAACUCGUGUGUGUCUUCCUGAUGAAAGUUUCAGGACAGUUGAUAAAUUGAUGGAAGAGAUACUGAGAACGGGUAGUUUGGUUAUGAAUGAGAAUUAUUGGUAUUUACUAAAAAGAAAAAAAAAAAAAGUCGAUUUUUGUUAGAAAUUUAUGAUCGGUCGUUUAAUAAUGUUAUCUAUGUGAAUUUAUAGGAGGUGGGUCAUCUGCUUAUAAUGCACCCACCUAUUCUCAGCAAUGGAUGUCUAGGUGAUAAUUAAUGUCCGGUUCAUGGACACAGCUUUUGUUCUUUGACGUCCAUGAGUAUAAGUUACGUGUUACCAAUUACGUUCCCACGAUUAAUUAAGAGUUUGCCAAGGUACAGGGUGGGGAUAGGGGAGAAGCUAUUAAAAUUGAAUCCUUAGCUUAUCCCUAGAAAUCGGUACGGGUUGGUGGCAGAGCCCAUAAGUUUCUCCUAGAGGGUAACAGAGCUGAGAGAGAACCAUUAGGAUUGCCAAGAGGGACGAUUAUUUCGAUUAAGUCCAAGAAAAGGUUUCGCUAUUCGGCAAUCGUUUAAUGAAUUCGAUAAAAACGGAAAAUAGUGAUAGCUGACAUUUAGCCAGGCACUGAGCAGUGGCGUAAAAAAUCUUUGACCUUUUGAAACUCACGCUACCUGGGGAUUUGUCCUAUCCGGGAUAUCAUCCUCCAUUAACCUCACGCUGAAAGCACCGAUUGUCGCGAGUGAAGUUUUCUUUAUCGUAAUGGCAUUGUUAUUGUAUGGAGAGACUAGCGUCGUCUGUUCCCUAUGAAAAAAAAUCCGAUAAACUCGAUGACCAAUGCUUCGUUCUCGAUACACGAUACUUGUGUACAUUCUGCAUACACGCAACGAGAUCUCUUAGCGAUCCACUCUUCGUCGCGUGACCCAUGGUGGGUGUAUGUUUAACCUUUUCGAUGGCAGGGCAAGAGCCGGAGGAGUCGGCUGAUCACCCACGCAAGCGAAUGUAAAUUACCGGAGGCUGUGAAUCAUUGUGAGAAGACCGGACAGCCUCGGGGCUUCGUAGCACUUACAUAAGAACACGCCUUGAGAAAGGCAGGCGGCUCCCAUAGAUGGCCGUGGGACGCGCUUCGGGCCUCAACUCCCAUCUUAUGCGGCAUCGCUGCCCACCAAUAACGCUCUCAAGAUCUUUCAAGGUUUUAGGAAUAAUAGGUAUAUACAGCUAAGCAUCCUGGUAUCCGAGGAAGAAUCGUACAAUCAGAUCUGGCAGACAUUAUUAUCGGUCCAGCGUCCGUAAUGCAUUUCACGGCGAGUACAAGUCUCAUAAGGAAGUUCUUCGAGGGAUCUGGUACUAGAUCAGAUCACACUAUCUUUUUUUUUUACAGGGUAUCGAUCUAUCUCAAUGAAGCCAUAUCAGGAUAUGGUAAAGAAGCGAUUCUACGUACCCGAAUAAUGAUCUCAUCAAGGAGCCAAGGGACGCCUAAGUCACUAUUGAUAAAGCCAGGUCGUCUAAGGUCAAAAGUGCAUGAUGCUCGAGCCACGCAGACAAAGGACAGAGGGCCCAGGAUCUCUCAUCCGAAGGAGACGAAGGAACCCUUGCUAGUAGAUCCAAUAUUUUUUCGCGGUACACUGUAAAGUCUCCUUAUAGGCAGUUGUCCCGCGGCGACUCGUGAGGAUCGUGAGGGCUCGUACGACAGAGGGAGAAGCAAGUAAGAGAACCGCGGCUGACGGAGGAAGAGAGGAGAACAAGUACGAGGAUGAGGAUGAGAUGGAUAGGCCGUGGCCCGUUGCUGCGGGGGCGUUCGAGACCGUGUAGAGCAUUGCGGAGCAUUACCGGAGCACUGAAGAAGAACGAAGAGAGAAUGGAGCCGAGGUUUGCCUCGCUGUACCACAGCAUCCCAUUCCUUCUUCGCUUGCCCUCAGCGCCCGCCUCUCACUGCAAUUAGGGAAUUGCCUGGGGUACCUCGCAUUCAUCGCAAUGCAACUGCGCCUUCCUGACAUGCUCUCGCUUCGAUUCCCUUCGGUAGCUGCCUACCUCUUGCUACGGCGAUAUUACUCGUCGAGGAGGAGUUAUCGUUCGAUUUCUGAAGGAGGAGGAACGUCUCAAUUCGUUACCACGUCGGCCGUGUGUUGGUUAACUGUGCCAUCUGCAAUCGCUACGUCAUCGAAUCGGAGAUUUAAUGCGUGGCGUCGGUAGCCUGUCUUUACAUUCGAGAUCUCGCACCGGAACCUGUCGUGACGAACGGCCCCUUAUUACACGUUGCGGCACUACUCGUAAAAACAUAGCCGCCUUUUGAUUGACACCUUCGCGGUAUCGGGUUGUGCACCUUUCCGUCACUGGCGUUACCAGUUAAAAGUCUGUAGUACGGUGGUAGAUAAAUUCGUAUACGAUAAGCACAGUAUCUUUUAUUCACAAACAAUAUUCUAUAUGGCAUGACAUAAAAUGGUACCUCGGAGCGUCCUUUGAUUUUCUUAAUUUUUAACUGCAAAUCAUCAAUAAGAUAAUAUACCUGACUAUGGGUAUUCUCGUAACAGACCUAAAGGCUACAGUAGUGCCUGCGAUAUCAGGUGACUUCGGCUAGCUGUACUAGAACGUGGCGAUAUUCCAGUAAGGAGAAACGUCACCUCGUAUAUAGAUUCAUGAGAUCAAUUCUGGUCUUUAACACCCGUAUCAAGAUCAUCUCCACAUAUUUAAUUCGUGAUCAAGUCGCCACGGCUACCUGUGCUAUGCAGACACUCCUGGCUCCGAGUCCAAGCACUUAGCGGCACUCAACCUCGAGAAGUUAGUCGCGUGUGAGUCGCCGCGGAAGGAGACGAGAGACGUAAAAAUAGUCGUGCGUUCUUCGUUAAUAUUUCAUUUUGUGCUUAUCGCUUCCUUGGAGCCGUUGCCACGGAACGCCCGAGGGCAUCGUUACUGGCUACGCGAGAGGGCCUUGGUCCGCCAGCCUGGUGCCGCCUUGCCGCAGGCAGCGCUAGGGCGCAUUGUCUCGCUCAUGCCUUCGGGUCCUUCUCCGUCUCUCUCCGUCUCCUUCCAAUCCCCUCGCUCCCUCUCACCUCUCUAUAGCCGUAGGCCCUGCUCAUCCCUAGGACCACACCGUUCCCUACGAACGUCCCUACCCGUCUUCCCAACGGCAAACCUGACUCCCCAUGGCUGGGCGUCCUGCCGCCGGCAGCGGUGCGCGCUAUCCACUAUCUUCAGCCGUUUCCGUACCCGCAGCGACCGAGCUUGUCCGGUCCCCGGGGCUUCUCCUCGACCCUCAGCCUCCCUCGUCCUCUGCGCGCGCGGCAUCCUUCAAGCGAACCAUGAUUCCCGCUGCGCCUCGGGGAACCGAAAUGGCUCUACCUUGCGUCUGCCUGCAGUGCCCUCGGCAAAUCUCCCUCCCACCAGUCCUCCUUCUUACCUUUUCCACGAUCCUUCCACCUCGUGCCAGUGUUACCACCGCUGGCACAGCCCGCCACAGGCAUCACCGCCACCACCACCACCACC